UAUAAUUUGUACACCCACCAGACAAAUAUAUUUGAAAAACAUGAGAAUGUAUAUUAUGUGAUUUGUUAAAAAGUUAGGGUAAAUAUAAAGCGGAGAUAACCUAGUUCAUGUUCUAUUUUAUCAACUUUAAAAUUGACGUUGAAAUACACAACUUGUGUUUAUUUUGGAUAUAGUCAUUACACAAGGUUCGUCUUUUUUAUUUCAACAUGAGUUCUGAAAAAGCUCGCGCAAAUUCAAAAGUAGAGAGUCCCAGCCCUUUCACAGAAGGCGGGAAAUGUUUUGAUGAAGUUCAGUUUAUAUUCGAUGAUAAGCAAAAACUUUUUGUGUCGCAAAACUUUUUGAUAUUGGCAUCGCCGGUUUUCGAGGCUAUGUUCAAGAGUGAUUUAAAAGAAAAACAAACAAUGACAGUACACCUAAAAGGAAAAAUAUAUGAAGACUUUUUGGAGUUUCUGAUGUGCAUUCACCCGGGAAGUAAAACCACGGUAACAACGUCCAAUGCCCUUCGUAUUGCCCCAAUUGCUGAAUAGUAUCAAGUUGCACGUGUCAUCCACAAAUGUACAAAAUGUAUGAAAACAUGGUUGACCGAAGAACUAACGACUGCACAAAAAAGGGAUAUAUUGACGAACGCGUUUUACCAGCCAGAAAUUGUUUAAAAAUACUGAAAACAGCGGCAUUACUUAAUAAUGUCGAGUUGACAGCACAUUCUGUCCAAGUCAUUGCUAGAUUUGGACACAGGAUAUAUUACGGAUCGUAUCAACCAGAUACUAUAUCUAAAGAUGAUUUGAAACAAACAUUAUGUACUGAUGGGGAAAAUGUCACGGCAGAGGAUGUUAUAAAAGACUGUAGAGAAUUGUUUAAAAGUCUUCCUUAACAUAUUAGAUGUGAAAUUCUGUCGCGCAGACUGGCCUAUUAUCCGGACAAUGAUAUGAAAUGAAGUGACAAUAUAUUACAACAGCUUGUUGUAAUAAUUGUACUUAAAUAUUUUCCGUUCAAAUGUGAAGUCAGUCAAGAUAAGUGGUACAUAGACAAAAUUGCAGUUAAUUGCUUUUUAGUAAAACAUAUUUGAGAACAGACUACGAUGUAAUGAGGCCCAUCUCAUGGUACUGUUUUCAUUGGAAACAACUUGGGGAAAAAACUCUGACUGGAAAAAUAUCUUCAACAGUUGUUAUUGUGUAUACUCGGAUUUUCCCCCUCAAACGUUGUCCGCUGUAUUUCUGAGGAUAACUAGAGAUGACAGUUAUUUAAUGAGUAAAAACGCAAGGAAACGGCGACGUUGGUGCCAUGAAAACAGAAAACAAAAACAAUCAUAUGCCUAAACUGUUGCAAUAAAUAAAUUAUCUAAAUUAGAAUCCCUAAUUAAUAUGUAUGUAAGUAUUUCGACAAAGUGUAAGUGUUUUCUAGUACCCUAUAAAACACUCAACUUGAAUGUUAAUGCAUGUAUAGAAAUAAGUCUUUUAUCCUACCACUAUGCAUUUAUCAGGCCGAUAUCUGCCUGCCGUGUAAACUUGAGGUUUAUUCAGUCAAUGCAGGUUUAUACCGUCAAUGCAACUGACGAACUACUUUUUCAAGUAUAUGUGCUAUAGGCAAUGUAAAUUGGGCCAAGAGUUCGAAGCUCAAACACUCCAUCAUUUUAUGAGGAUAGCCACGGUAAUUUUUUUUUUAAAAAUUGGUUCCCUCUAUCCUAGUAAACCUCCAUACGGAAUGGUACGAUGACAGCUUUUAAAGUCUGUGUGAAUCGACCUUGACUUUGUGUAUUUCGGCGUUCAGUCAUUUUUAGUUAGAAAUUUACACAAAUAACCGGGUUUAAGCAGUUGUUUAUUGUAAUUAUUGGAUCUAAACCACUCAUGGUGGAAGGAAUUUCAUUACCUCACAUUGUUUUGUACGAAAUUGGAGUGAAUUUAAGACUGCGGGCAUUUGAAUUCAUCUCAAGCGUGGUUUUCGGCUGUAUUUUAUCCGAGUCAAAACCAUUCUGCUUGUUUUGUACGCGAAUGCCCUGUUAGCACCGAUGAUUUAUAAUACAAAGAACUUCAGAAGGCAAAGUAUGAGGUACGAAAUAAUGUUUUAUUGUUACAAGGAAUCGUGUGUAAGUGGACCAAGCAGACAAGGGCGUAGGAAUUCACAAGUGAGUGAAUAAUUGGAUUAAUUUUGUAUAGAAAAAACAUUUUGAAAGGAAAUAUAUGUUAUACACAGAUU
rnacentral:misc_RNA from 1 species